ACUCUCGUUUCUCUUCAGAUCUUAUAAAUCUUUCGCCUUUUACUAAAGAUUUCCGUGGAGAGGAGUGCUCAGAGAUUAAGCAAUUUUUUUUGUUGCCUUACUUUUGUAGGGCU